CACGUAGGAGGCGAGCGUUGUCCGGAAUCAUUGGGCGUAAAGAGCGCGCAGGCGGCUUGGCAAGUCGGGUGUGAAAUCCCGGGGCUCAACCCCGUGACUGCAUCCGAUACUGUCAGGCUAGAGGUAGGUAGGGGAGAUCGGAAUUCCUGGUGUAGCGGUGAAAUGCGCAGAUAUCAGGAGGAACACCAAUAGCGAAGGCAGCUCGCUGGGACGGUACUGACGCUAAGGCGCGAAAGCGUGGGGAGCGAACAGG
rnacentral:rRNA from 1 species